rnacentral:rRNA from 1 species
AACGUGGACCCGUAAUCCGGGUUGCGGACAGUGUCUGGUGGGUAGUUUGACUGGGGCGGUCUCCUCCUAAAGAGUAACGGAGGAGCACGAAGGUUGGCUAAUCCUGGUCGGACAUCAGGAGGUUAGUGCAAUGGCAUAAGCCAGCUUGACUGCGAGCGUGACGGCGCGAGCAGGUGCGAAAGCAGGUCAUAGUGAUCCGGUGGUUCUGAAUGGAAGGGCCAUCGCUCAACGGAUAAAAGGUACUCCGGGGAUAACAGGCUGAUACCGCCCAAGAGUUCAUAUCGACGGCGGUGUUUGGCACCUCGAUGUCGGCUCAUCACAUCCUGGGGCUGAAGUAGGUCCCAAGGGUAUGGCUGUUCGCCAUUUAAAGUGGUACGCGAGCUGGGUUUAGAACGUCGUGAGACAGUUCGGUCCCUAUCUGCCGUGGGCGCUGGAGAACUGAGGGGGGCUGCUCCUAGUACGAGAGGACCGGAGUGGACGCAUCACUGGUGUUCGGGUUGUCAUGCCAAUGGCACUGCCCGGUAGCUAAAUGCGGAAGAGAUAAGUGCUGAAAGCAUCUAAGCACGAAACUUGCCCCGAGAUGAGUUCUCCCUGAGACUUAGAGUCUCCUGAAGGAACGUUGAAGACGACGACGUUGAUAGGCCGGGUGUGUAAGCGCAGCGAUGCGUUGAGCUAACCGGUACUAAUGAACCGUGAGGCUUAACCUUACAACGCCAAAG